GACGAACGCUGGCGGCGUGCUUAACACAUGCAAGUCGAACGGAAAGGCCCUGCUUUUGUGGGGUGCUCGUGUGGCGAACGGGUGAGUAACACGUGAGUAACCUGCCCUUGACUUUGGGAUAACUUCAGGAAACUGGGGCUAAUACCGGAUAGGAGCUCCUGCUGCAUGGUGGUGGUUGGAAAGAUUCGGCGGUUGGGGAUGGUUUCGCGGCUUAUGAGCUGGUUGGUGGGGUAGUGGAUGACCAAGGCUUUGAAGGGUAGCCGGCCUGAGAGGGUGGCCGGCGACAUUGGGACUGAGAUACGGCCCAGACUCCUACGGGAGGCAGCGGUGGGGAAUAUUGCACAGUGGGCGGGAGCCUGAUGCAGCAGCGCCGCGUGCGGGAUGACGGCCUUCGGGUUGUGAACCGCUGUCGCCUGUGACGAAGCGUGAGUGACGGUAAUGAGUAAAGAAGCACCGGCUAACUACGUG
rnacentral:rRNA from 1 species